rnacentral:misc_RNA from 1 species
UGGUACGCAUAGAUCUACACGAAGGAUAGAAAGAAAGAACAGAACCCAAGACCAAGAGUCGGAAGUAAGCAUGAGAGAUCAUGGCCUGCAGGUCUCAUCAAAUAAAGCGCAGCACGCACCAAGAACAAGGCGCAGAGACGAAGAUGAACGCCAACAGGGAUCGAGAAGAACAAAGGCCAGAUUCUCACAGAUGCAUGUGUUUAAUUGCGGUGCAGAAUUGAUCUUUGAUUUGCGAGACAAAUUUACCUGCUGCCAGUGGGCUGCUGCAUCCAUGCAAGAACUCCAGUUCCUUUGCUACCCCCACAAUUCCCGAGGGGGGGGGGAGUUGGAGAGAAGGGAUGAUGGUGGAGAAGAUGCGCCUCCGCUAGAUGGAUUUCUUGAGCACCGAGGAGGAAGAGAGAGAGAGAGAGAAUGCCUCCUCCUCCGCUCCGUCUCCUCUCCGCGCACCCCUCCUCUCUCUCUUGUCCAAUUAAUAGCCAAUCUAGCAGUGGGGGAUUCUUUCUUAAAAAAAUAAUUUAUGCUAGCUCCUCUCAUCUGCUCGCUUCGUCAGUGAUGGGAAAAGAAUUUGGAGCGCUGUGUUGGGCGGCCUGCGAUCGCUGCCAAUUUUUCUAGUUGUGCUGUUGAUAAGUAGGCAGCUGCCGGGAGGGAGCAUGCGUUCUAACUCUCGUGAGGUGAGGAGGUCCACAGCAGUCAACAGGCGAGGGAUUCCACACCGGAACGCGGA